CAGCCUGAUGUGUGUCUCUCUGUUUCCUCUCUGUUUCCUGCCCUUUCAUCCCGACCACGACCAUGAUCUCUCACUUAGCAGCAGAGCAGUUUAUUCUAAACAGUGGAAGCACAAAAAUGUUCAGACUCUUUGGUCUUCUCAUUUUCAUUAACACUGCACUGACUACAGAUGUUGUUCAGCCCAGUCACCUGAUGAGGGUUCAGCUUGGAGACAGUGUGACCCUGACAUGCUUCUGUCAAGGAGAAACAACUUUUGUUACUUUGUUUAAGCAAGCUGUUGGUCGGAAGCCCCAGCCCAUGGCGAAAGCACUUCUCUACGUACCUGGUGAAUUUUACAAGGAAUAUAAAAGCAUAAAACGUUACUCCUUACUGAAUGCAGAGGGGAGUUUUAACCUCACUAUUUCUAACGUGGAGCCGUCAGAUUCUGCAGUGUAUUAUUGUGCUGCUGUGUUUCUUCAUGAGGUCACCUUCGGGAAUGGAACCUUUGUCAUAAUCACAGGUAAAGACUCCAACAGCAGGACUGUGGUACAGCAGCCUGUGUCUGACACAUUGCAGCCAGGAGACUCUGUGAGCCUGCAGUGUACGAUAGAGACUGGGAGCUGUGCAGGAGAACACAGUGUUUACUGGUUCAGACAUGGAUCAGGAGAAUCCCUUCCUGGAGUCAUUUACAGCCAUGGAAACAGCAGUGAUGAGUGUGAGAAGAGCCCUGAGGCUGGAUCUCCUACACGGAGCUGCGUCUACAGCCUCCCCAAGGGGAACCUCAGCCUCUCCGAUGCUGGGACUUACUACUGCGCUGUGGCCAUGUGUGGGGAGAUGCUGUUUGGGAACGGCACAUAGCUGGAUAUAGAUGGCUUUCAGAAGCUGCUGGAUCCUCUUCACUCUGGCUUGCUGAUAGUUUUAUCUUGCAGCAUUAUUCUGAACGUUGCUCUCAUUUGUAUAAGAUGUAAACUGACCUGUACACACUGUGCAGAUGAAAAGAACAGUGAUAUAUCAAAAGUGGAAUGGUCACGCAAGCAAUGCCAUGACGAGGACACACUGAAUUACGCUGCCCUGAACCUUAAGAAGCCAAAACCCAGGAGACAGAAGAAAGACGGGAAUAAUGACACUCUGUAUUCUGACCUCCGCUACAGAGAUUAUGAAUAAAGAUGCUUCUCAUUCAUGUCAGUCACACAGAGUGUUCAGGGUGUAGCUUUAAUAAUGUUCAGAGGAGGGCAGGGGAGCCAGUGCUUCUGAGACUGAAUCACGGGAUUUUACGGAGCACCGGUGCUGAGUUUGGUGUCAGUGUGUUUGGGGCGCAUUUUUACUGGAAGUGCAAAUGUUCAAG